UCGGCGCUGCCCCGGCGAGGGGCCGAGCCGGCGGGGCGCGCAGAAGCCGGCCAGAGCCCGGGCCCGAGCGCGGCUCCGCUCGGCUCCUGUGCGGCUCCCGGCGGGCCCUUCAGCCCCGGCCGGCCCCGGCGCGGCAGGGCACGAUGGCGCCCGGGCUGGGGCCGUGGCUCCUGGCCUUGUCCUUGGCCGCGGGGCCGGCAGGGCUGUGGGCGCAGCUGAGGCUGCUGGAGUACGGCGGAGGGCUGCGAGCGCCCGGGGAGACCGUGCGCCUCUCCUGCCGCGGAUCCGGCUUCGACUUCGGGGAAUAUGAAAUUCGGUGGUACCGUCAGGCAGCCGGCGGCAGACUCGAGUGGGUGUCCUAUAUCAGCUGGGAUUCAGAUUCCACGAAGGAGUACGGGGCAGGAGUGCAGGGUCGAGCUACAGUGUCCCGGGACAAUUCCCGGUCCGAGUCGAUUCUGUCCCUGCGGGCCCUGCAGCCCCGGGACUCUGCCCGCUACUUCUGCACUGUUCACACGGGGACAGGAAAUCCAGCUGAGCUUUAACACAAACCUGCUGGGGCCCGGCCCAGGGUGCACAAUAUUUGGAGCCAGCAAGUGCUGA